rnacentral:rRNA from 1 species
UACGAAGGGGGCUAGCGUUGUUCGGAAUUACUGGGCGUAAAGGGCGCGUAGGCGGCGUGUCAAGUCAGGCGUGAAAGCCCCGGGCUCAACCUGGGAACCGCGCUUGAGACUGGCAUGCUCGAGUUCGGGAGAGGAUGGUGGAAUUCCCAGUGUGGAGGUGAAAUUCGUAGAUAUUGGGAAGAACACCGAUGGCGAAGGCAGCCAUCUGGACCGACACUGACGCUGAGGCGCGAAAGCGUGGGGAGCAAACAGG